rnacentral:rRNA from 1 species
UACAGAGGUCCCGAGCGUUGUUCGGAUUCACUGGGCGUAAAGGGUGCGUAGGCGGUCGGGUAAGUCUGAUGUGAAAUCUCACAGCUUAACUGUGAAACUGCAUUGGAUACUAUUCGGCUUGAGGUCUGGAGGGGGGACUGGAAUUCUCGGUGUAGCAGUGAAAUGCGUAGAUAUCGAGAGGAACACCAGUGGCGAAGGCGGGUCUCUGGGCCGGAUACUGACGCUGAGGAGCGAAAGCGUGGGG